rnacentral:sRNA from 1 species
AAAAAAAUUUAAAAUAUUAUUAAUAUGCUGUUUUAAUAGGGGUUAAAACUUUAGUUUUUUAACAAUUGUCUCAUUGAUUCGGGGUAUAGCGUUACCUAACAACAAUUAUAAACUGUAAAAUAUAAAUAUUUUUUAAAAAUAAAAUUUGCAAGUUUUAAUAUAUAUUACUUUUACAAAAUAAAUCGUCCCGCGGUAUACCGCGGGUUUUAAUCUAGUUAACUUGUUAUUUGUCUAGCCGUUUAGGGCACACUAGAUUUUGGAA